UGUGGGGAGCCGAGACUCAGAUGCCACUAGCUGGCGCUGACAUCUCGCCCUCAAAACUUAAACCUCCAGGGUGCAUGCGUAGAUGCGUAUACACGCUAAAGAUUGCGUAAGCACGCUAAGAAUUGCGUAGGCAUGCCGGUAAGAGUGAGCAGCCAAUCAGGGUAUUGACACGUCACUCAGGUGGACCCGGGCUUAUAUAAACAGCGCUACUCCGGGGCCCGCCCUCUCCUUCGAUCUCUUCCUUCCCCGUUUCCCCGCCCGGGGCCGCGGCCCUCGGGAAGCCGCCCGCGCCCACGAGGUGGCCGGGCGGCCUCUCUCUCCCCUCUUCAUCGCGUGACUAAUAAAGUUUACUGCGGAAGGAUUCCUGUGGUCGCGUGCGUUUCUGCCGGCGAAACAUUCACGCGGCGGCUCCCAACAUCUGGUGCCGAAACCCGGGAACAUUGCUGGGAAGAAAACAAUCCAUUCUGGGUACCGGAGCGCCUCACGCGAAAGCUCGUGACAGCUGAAGAUGAUCUUCCAACAGACACACCUGCUACUGCUGAAAGAAUCCAGGACAGCGAGGAGGACCACUAAUUCUACUCGAGUGGAUUCAUUGCCCACAGACUGGCUUUACCCUGGGUUUCUUCUGCCUUUUCUUACUUCAGAUUGGGUGGGGGUCGGAAUGUUUGGUGUAGCAUUGUGUCGUGGCUUAGUGUUUUUUACUCUGGUUGUUCUGCAAACUCUAUACCCAAAACAAACGUGACUAGGUCGCAAUCGCGCAAGCACUAGCACCCUUGGAACAAGGAUCGUCUCCCAAAAAUUUGGUUAUCCAUGUUAAAAAAUUAAAACAGACUGUGACACUCAGUCGAUGCACCUCAGGGGUUUCACCCAUUGCACUGAGUCGAUGAGUGAUCCAGGUUAAUGUUGCCUUUGCCUAAACGGUUAUGGUACCUAGACAGGAGGGUGACAGCUCUUGCACUCCCUGGAAUUUUAUUCCAUUGCACGGGAAUGAGUGUCACCUCCUUUCUGAGAUGUGGUACCUAGACAGGAGGGUGACAGCUCUUGCACUCCCUGGAAUUUUAUUCCAUUGCACGGAAAUGAGUGUCACCUCCUUUCUGAGAUGUGGUACCUAGACAGGAGGGUGACAGCUCUUGCACUCCCUGGAAUUUUAUUCCAUUGCACGGGAAUGAGUGUCACCUCCUUUUAAAAAAUCUUCUCCCCUAGCCCCUGCACCCAGAGGACUUGUUUCCAUUGCACCUGGUGGGGUAAGGGAGUAAUCUAAAGCUUUUGAUCGCUUACUCCCCAAAGAAGGAGUUUGCUUGAUCGAGCUUAGGGCCCUCUUGUACCGUGCUUAUAGGCUUUUAGGCAGUUUUCAUUUAUUUAUUUAUAACAAAAAGGGAGAUGUGGGGAGCCGAGACUCAGAUGCCACUAGCUGGCGCUGACAUCUCGCCCUCAAAACUUAAACCUCCAGGGUGCAUGCGUAGAUGCGUAUACACGCUAAAGAUUGCGUAAGCACGCUAAGAAUUGCGUAGGCAUGCCGGUAAGAGUGAGCAGCCAAUCAGGGUAUUGACACGUCACUCAGGUGGACCCGGGCUUAUAUAAACAGCGCUACUCCGGGGCCCGCCCUCUCCUUCGAUCUCUUCCUUCCCCGUUUCCCCGCCCGGGGCCGCGGCCCUCGGGAAGCCGCCCGCGCCCACGAGGUGGCCGGGCGGCCUCUCUCUCCCCUCUUCAUCGCGUGACUAAUAAAGUUUACUGCGGAAGGA